GAUGAACGCUGGCGGCGUGCCUAAUACAUGCAAGUCGAGCGAACGGACGAGAAGCUUGCUUCUCUGAUGUUAGCGGCGGACGGGUGAGUAACACGUGGAUAACCUACCUAUAAGACUGGGAUAACUUCGGGAAACCGGAGCCAAUACCGGAUGAUAUUUUGAACCGCAUGGUUCAAAAGUGAAAGACGGUCUUGCUGUCACUUAUAGAUGGAUCCGCGCUGCAUUAGCUAGUUGGUAAGGUAACGGCUUACCAAGGCAACGAUGCAUAGCCGACCUGAGAGGGUGAUCGGCCACACUGGAACUGUGACACGGUCCAGCCUCCUACGGGAGGCAGCAGUAGGGAAUCUUCCGCAAUGGGCGAAAGCCUGACGGAGCAACGCCGCGUGAGUGAUGAAGGUCUUCGGAUCGUAAAACUCUGUUAUUAGGGAAGAACAUAUGUGUAGGUAACUGUGCACAUCUUGACGGUACCUAAUCAGAAAGCCACGGCUAACUACGUG
rnacentral:rRNA from 1 species